rnacentral:sRNA from 1 species
GGGGCAGGCAGAUCAGAGGGAGCUGAGGGAGGCCUGACCUGAGGCCGGCACCCGGAGCUGGCGGGAGCCAGACCCAGAGGACCUCCGCCGCUUCUUGCUGUCAGCAGCCUGCCGGAGCUUCCCACAGUGGCUGCCUGGAGGUGGUGGCGGCCAAGUCUCCAGCUGCUCAGAUACUGAUGUCCCCUACCUGCUGUUGGCCGUCAAGUCAGAACCAGGGCGCUUUGCAGAACGACAGGCCGUGAGAGAGACGUGGGGCAGUCCAGCUCCAGGGAUCCGGCUGCUCUUCCUGCUAGGGUCUCCGGUGGGUGAGGCGGGGCCUGACCUAGACUCACUAGUGGCCUGGGAGAGCCGUCGCUACAGUGACCUGCUGCUCUGGGACUUCCUCGACGUCCCAUUCAACCAGACGCUCAAAGACCUGCUGCUGCUGGCCUGGCUGGGCCGCCACUGCCCCACCGUGAGUUUU